rnacentral:RNase_P_RNA from 1 species
UGCUUUGGCAUGAGGAAAGUCCGGACAACGCAGAGCACCGCACCAUCUAACGGAUGGGGUUCCGAUCAGUCGGAAUACAGCAAGUGUCGCAGAAAAUAACCGCCUGUUCGCAGGUAAGGGUGAAAACGUGCGGUAAGAGCGCACGCAGCCUGUUGGCAACAAUGGGUUGGGAUAAACCUUGUGGGUUGAAAUGCCAUGUAUAUUCCAUUCCUUUAUGGACUUAUGUUGCUCGCAUAAGGUUCUUUUUGAACAAUGGGAAGGGUGGGCAGAUAGAGUUAUUGGGUGACCAAUGACCCAGAUAAAUGACAGGGGCCUUCUUCGGAAGGAACAGAAUCCGGCUUAUACGU